rnacentral:rRNA from 1 species
GACGAACGCUGGCGGCGUGCUUAACACAUGCAAGUCGAACGGAAAGGCCCCUUCGGGGGUACUCGAGUGGCGAACGGGUGAGUAACACGUGAGUAACCUGCCCUUGACUUCGGGAUAACUUCAGGAAACUGGGGCUAAUACCGGAUAGGAAUCCUUGCUGCAUGGUGGGGGUUGGAAAGCUUCGGCGGUUUUGGAUGGACUCGCGGCUUAUCAGCUUGUUGGUGGGGUAGUGGCUUACCAAGGCUUUGACGGGUAGCCGGCCUGAGAGGGCGACCGGCCACAUUGGGACUUAGAUACGGCCCAGACUCCUACGGGAGGCAGCAGUGGGGAAUAUUGCACAAUGGGCGGAAGCCUGAUGCAGCAACGCCGCGUGCGGGAUGACGGCCUUCGGGUUGUAAACCGCUUUCAGCAGGGGCGAAGCUUGUGGUGACGGUACCUGCAGAAGAAGCACCGGCUAACUACGUG